AUAAGAGCAUAACUGAAUGUGGAAUGGAAAGCACAUAAGGCUUCUGCCAAACGGUAGCUGAUAAUCCCACCAGGCCUGGGAGGGGUCACGUGAGCAGCAGGACCUGUGAGAGUUGGAGCCUAAAGGCAGCCCCAUCUCAUGGCUAAGAAGUGAACAAGAAAGCGGAUGCAAAUUCAUCCCUUCAAGGAACAGAACCCAUCAAUGAAGCAGUAUUUCCUCUUGAAGAAGGCAACAGAGGGCCAUAUGCUUACUCUACUGAAGCUGCCUUGCUCCACAUGUUUUUGGAAGCCUGCUAUAUCACCUGGCAGCUGCUGCUCCACCUUGGCUAUUCUGUUCUAACAAACUGAUCGACCCAGCUGAUUUGCACCAAUGCUGAUCCUCACUUCAGAGAUGAGAAAAGUGGGGCAAAGGAGGCGGAGGAACAGCACUUCUGCAGGGUCAUGCGGCUGGGAGAGGGGGCACCCAGACAGGGACAUGAGCUGGCUGCAUGCUCAGCAUCACUGUGCUUGGUGCUCCCCAUGGCAGCUCUCCGGUCUCCCCUUAUUUUCCCUCUCCCAUGAUAAACUUCCUGUCUCUCUCCAAUGUUGCCUGCAUCCUCAGUUUUCUCAGGCCCUCCCAUUUAGUGCUCAGCUUGCUGAACGCCCUCUGUGCAGCCAAUUUAACGCUCCUACAAAUGACUGGAGGCCCUAUAAAGGCUCUGGCCACCAGCAAGAGGCCAAGGAAAACUCAGCUGUAAGCUUGUUUUGACUGCUAUUAAGAUGACUCAUCCGCACGAAAGAAGAAAGAGACGUCCUAUUUUGAAGAAAGAUAAAGACAUUUUCAAGGACUGCAUCUUUUUCACUAGACAUGUCAGAGGCACAACUAGACAGAUUAUGUUCCACUUCAGUCUUCUUGACAUCACCUUUCUAAACUUUAGAACAGAACACUGGCAAUGGAUCAGAUAAUAACAGUACACAGACACACUCACAUUGACCAGACACGAUCAGUAAAACAGUUUCUGUCAUAUGAGCUAAUGGGAAACAGCAGAGAAGAUUGAGAUCCUGUUCUAGGAACAGCUGGUUCAACAGUGACCCAUCUUUUCCAUUACUGAGUACCAUUUUCAUGACUCAGACUUCUGCUACCACAACGCUAACUGCAAAUGCAAUUGUGGGAGAUGCCAAAAGGAACUCUUGAGAAAUCUGCAGCUCCCAGGGGGAAAUAAUGAAAGUUAAGCUUCCUUUGUUAAGUGUUUACAAAUAGAUUUAAAGGUAGGAAGAGAAAAAUAUCACAUGACUGACAGCACUCUGUAUGUGGGCUGAUGCUGAACAAUGAAAUUAUACAAGACAAAGAACAGUGGACAGGAAGCUCAUUCUGGAGCUCAAUGACAUUAAACUAGAGUUACACUGAAAUUAUAAAAUGUUUUCUUUUGGACAUUUUUAUAGAAAGAGAUGAUAAAAAAAUCCUCAGGCCCAAUUUUAAGCAAAAUGAGGGCAAGAAAGCCUCCAUUUCAUUGAUUUAUUAUUGUUGGCCAAACCUGGAUCUUGCUAAUAUACUGUGGGUAGAAGCCAGCCUACACUGUACACUAGAGACUGUGUAAUUUGAGAAAUUAAAAAAUACCGUAGCACAGACGUACAUUUUACAAAAUAGUUCCCAUGUUAUAAUUGUUCUGUUCUUCCCACUCCAAUGCUUAUGAUAAAAUAUGGCACAAAUUUUAACAGUCACCAGGGAAGAUUUUAAAAAAUUGGUAUAGAAAAUAAAUUUAAAUAAAAAAGAUUUUAAAAACGGACUAAAGAUUCCUUGCACUCUGCCCAAAGGUUGGCCAUAAGUCUAAGCAUCUCUUUUGAUAGUCUGCAGGGCAGAGAGCCUUUCAGAGGCCCUCUGUGGCAGGCUUCUAACUUGUUCCCUGUGUUUUCCUUCUUCUGAUGUCCAGCCUCUUUGCCUUUCUAGAUGCAGAUUGAGUGCUUUAACCUGAGUCCUUCCUCUUGAUUAGUUUCUUUAGGUGUACAGAUUUUAGUAGGUUUAUCCUAUAUUAUAAGUCUAUAGGAGUGAGUACAUACCGUGUGUGUCUUUCUGCUUCUGGGAUAGCUUACUCAGGAUGAUCUUUUCCAGUUCCUACCAUUUACCUGCAAAUUUCAUGAUUUCCUUGUUUUUUAUUGCUGAGUAAUAUUACAUUGUGUAGAUGUACCACUAUUUCUGUAUCCAUUCCUCAGUUGAGGGGCAUCUGGGUUGUUUCCAGCU